UAUGAAUUAAGUAUAAUGUAUAUAUCACUUACAAUGAUAAGGACUAAAUUUAAAUAGAAUUCAUUAAUUUA
rnacentral:tRNA from 1 species